UGUGAAGCAAUGAUCAGAUUUGAAGCCAAAAUCGUCCAAACGAUUUCAAUGAAGAACCGAUUCUACUGGAAUCGUAAUUUUUGAAACGAUUCAAUGUAGGAAUCAGUUCUCGAUGCCCAGCCCUAGUGAUAGUUAGGGUAAG